CGGGAAUAGGUUUAUUUGCCCGCCGCGGC
rnacentral:sRNA from 1 species